rnacentral:tRNA from 1 species
GGAGGGGUGGCAGAGCGGCCGAUUGCACCGGUCUUGAAAACCGGAGACGCCGUAAGGUGUUCGCGAGUUCGAAUCUCGCCCCCUCCG